rnacentral:rRNA from 1 species
UACGGAGGGGGCUAGCGUUGUCCGAAGGUACUGGGCGUAAAGCGCGCGUAGGCGGGUUGGUAAGUCAGCUGUGAAAGCCCGGAGCUUAACUCCGGAGGGUCGGUGGAUACUGCCAGUCUUGAAGGUGCUAGGGGGAGAUGGAAUUACCGGUGUAGCGGUGAAAUGCGUAGAUAUCGGUAGGAACACCAGUGGCGAAAGCGGCUCACUGGACCACUACUGACGCUGAUGCGCGAAAGCUAGGGGAGCAAACAGG